rnacentral:rRNA from 1 species
UACGUAGGGGGCUAGCGUUGUCCGGAAUCAUUGGGCGUAAAGAGCGUGUAGGCGGCCCGGUAAGUCCGCUGUGAAAGUCGGGGGCUCAACCCUCGAAUGCCGGUGGAUACUGUCGGGCUAGAGUGCGGAAGAGGCGAGUGGAAUUCCUGGUGUAGCGGUGAAAUGCGCAGAUAUCAGGAGGAACACCGGUGGCGAAGGCGGGUCUCUGGGCAUCUCCUGACGCUGAGGCGCGAAAGCGUGGGGAGCAAACGGG